CAGAAAAACUAGCCUUCUGAUAUCAGCAUCCUCAGGAUACAGAGUUUAAAAAUACCAUUUCCUUUACCCAGCUGCCUUGUGUCCUGAGCUGAGCACCCCGACACUGACCCACACCCCUAAGGGAGCUAAUGCAUCGGAUGGGUCUGUGCAGAGUGACUGAGAAGCAGUAUCUUUGCCAUCAGUGUCUUUCUGAGGAACUGAGUUUGUAAAUCUGUCUCUACUAAGAUGUCCUCCAUCAUCCUAAGCCCUCUCAUUCUUUGUCCCCAGGUCCCACGAUGUGAAAAACUUAAGUGAACUUACUCAUUCCACCCAUUGCCCCGGCCAGUCCUCUCCCCACCCGGUCAUCAGUCAUCGGCGUGUUGCCAACAAGCAGGCUACAUCCGGCCUGCUGGCCCACAGCUUCCCUCUCACAUGAGAAAGAUAUCACCUCACUUGAACGGGACCAGGCCUCUGAAAGACACGCCAAGCAGUUUCAUGUCCGGUCUGAAUGGAAGUCCCAGUGUCAGCAGGGCUCGUCCUGCUGACACUCCUACAGGAGUUAACAGCUGCCCUGGGAUUGCAGAGCACCCUAAGGAGCAAAACCUCACCAUCGGCAUUCAGGACAAGCCUGUUCUCCAAGCACAAACUCAGCCUAACCAACAUAGCAAUUCCGGGGAGGCCUCUAACAAGCCUGUCCCUCCUACUGCCAUCAGCUGCUCUGCGAUACAGUCCUUCUUGAAUGCACUGACAGUGCUGGUUUCUAGUGAGGCAGCAAAGCCACUCUCCCCAAGCGAGUCAUGCUCCAAACCGGUAAUCAAUGGCGGAUCCAAGGUGAGCUCCAGUGUGCUGGUCCCCUAUGGUGCACAGUCAUCGGAAGAGUCUGACAAGAGGUCCAAGGGCCUGGCCAAGGGGAACGGUAUGGGCAGGAUAGCCACAGCUCACGGUGCUGGCCAUAACGCCGGAGAUGAGGAGGCCCCGCCACAUGAGCUUCAAGAACCUGUCACUCUAAAUGGUGCUAAUAGUACAGACAAUGACCCGAAGGAAAACGGCCUGUCAUUUGAGGGUGCCAGUUGCCAAGUCCAGCCUGCUUUGCACUCAGAAUAUCCUUUUUCUAAAGCAAACGGUCUUCCUGGAGUGGAGAGUUGGUUGGGGAAGGCUUGGUUUUGA
rnacentral:lncRNA from 1 species